rnacentral:rRNA from 1 species
AUACGGAGGGUGCAAGCGUUAUUCGGAAUCACUGGGCGUAAAGGACGCGUAGGCGGGUUGGCAAGUCAGAUGUGAAAUCCUACAGCUUAACUGUAGAACUGCAUUUGAAACUGCUAACCUAGAGUAUGGGAGGGGGAGAUGGAAUUAGUGGUGUAGGGGUAAAAUCCGUAGAUAUCACUAGGAAUACCAAAAGCGAAGGCGAUCUCCUGGAACAUAACUGACGCUAAGGCGUGAAAGCGUGGGGAGCAAACGGGAUUAGAAACCCUAGUAGUCC